GGACACUGGAAGGAUUGACAGAUUGAGAGCUCUUUCUUGAUUCGGUGGGUGGUGGUGCAUGGCCGUUCUUAGUUGGUGGAGCGAUUUGUCUGGUUAAUUCCGAUAACGAACGAGACUCUAGCCUGCUAAAUAGGUGGUCGGUUUAAUUUUUUUAACCGAAACUGGGGGUCGGAGUCGUCCGGGCCAAGGCGGUUGCUGGGGGCGGCCGGGUUCUAGUCCUCUUCGGUGUGCGGCAUGUGUCGGUUCUUUUUGGUUUGUGGCGGCAUCUCUUUCGGGGGGUGCUGUGGCGAGCUGGGGGGGGCUGGUGCGGUCGCGUGUCGGGGUGGGCACCUCGGUUGUUUCUUCGAUUGUCUCCGGGCGAAACUCUGGCUCUCGCGUCGACCACAUCUCUUCUUAGAGGGACAAGCGGCGUCCAGCCGCGUGACAGUGAGCAAUAACAGGUCUGUGAUGCCCUUAGAUGUCCUGGGCCGCACGCGCGCUACACUGAAGGAAUCAGCGUGUUUCACUCUCCCUGUCCGAAAGGACCGGGUAACCGCUGAACCUCCUUCGUG
rnacentral:rRNA from 1 species